AACGAACGCUGGCGGCGCGUCUUAAGCAUGCAAGUCGAACGGCAAGAUUGGUGCUUGCACCGAUCCUAGAGUGGCGGACUGGUGAGUAACGCGUGGGUGACGUACCCUAAGGAUGGGGAUAGCUGGUAGAAAUAUCAGGUAAUACCGAAUAUCCUUAUUGUUGUUAGAGGACAGUAAGGAAAGGAGCUUUGGCUUCGCCUAAGGAUCGGCCCGCGUACUAUUAGCUAGUUGGUGAGGUAACGGCUCACCAAGGCGACGAUAGUUAUCCGGCCUAAGAGGGUGAACGGACACAUUGGGACUGAGAUACGGCCCAGACUCCUACGGGAGGCAGCAGCUAAGAAUAUUCCGCAAUGGAGGAAACUCUGACGGAGCGACGCCGCGUGGAUGAUGAAGGCCGGAAGGUUGUAAAAUCCUUUUAAGCAAGAAGAAUAAUCUUUACAGGGAAUGGUAGAGUGGUGACGGUAUUGCUUGAAUAAGCAACGGCUAAUUACGUGCCAGCCGCCGCAGUAACAC
rnacentral:rRNA from 1 species